rnacentral:rRNA from 1 species
UACGAAGGGGGCUAGCGUUGUUCGGAAUUACUGGGCGUAAAGCGCACGUAGGCGGAUAUUUAAGUCAGGGGUGAAAUCCCAGAGCUCAACUCUGGAACUGCCUUUGAUACUGGGUAUCUCGAGUAUGGAAGAGGUGAGUGGAAUUCCGAGUGUAGAGGUGAAAUUCGUAGAUAUUCGCAAGAACACCAGUGGCGAAGGCGGCUCACUGGCCCGGUACUGACGCUGAGGUGCGAAAGCGUGGGGAGCAAACAGG